rnacentral:lncRNA from 1 species
CAAUUUUGUAACAUUUAUUCCUGUAAUAGUUUGGGCAAUGAAAUGGUUUAGAAUCUUAUUCAUUCAUUGCUUAAGCAAGGUUUACUGAAAAUUCACUUUAUUAAUCUUUGCAAAUAAUACCAAAUGAUAAACGGGUCUUUAAUUUCACAGGUUAAUAAACAGAAAGAAGACAUUGAAAUGAGAAAAAAGUUUGAUACCAUAGGCAUCAAGAGUCCCAGAGCCGUCAAAGGAAAAGAAAUCACUUUGUCCCCAUGGCCCUCCCAGCCCAAGAGUGCAGGUGUUUUUAGGCCUCAUUCUUCUUCCAUCGCUUCACUGACUCCAAAAACCAAAAGAAUCAAGAGUCUAAAGAAGGCAGCAAAGGAAGAGCAGCCUAUGGUAAGAGCCACUCGCCAGACCACACCCCGUGACACCUUCAUCUACAGGGGGCAUCGUCCUGUUAGCACCCUUGCCACUUCAGUGUCCUUCCUCCUGUCCAGCCUCAGCGCUGACCAUCUCAAACUCCCGAUGCCCCUGCUCCCUCUGCGUGCAUCUGGGUGGGGACUCUGACUGUUCUUCCCCGCACCAGCGUGUUCCUUCCUGUCAGGCCCCUUACCUUCCCCAGGAGGUGCCACCAUUAUCCUUAUUUUGGUGCUUUAAGCUUAGUCACCAAGCCUUUUGGGAUCUCUAGUAAAUUAGCAAGAUAGAGAAGCCACAGGCCAAGCACUUUCUAAGAUGUAUAAUCUCUCACUCAUUACUGCCCAGCAUCUCUCAGAAGUUUCCUGAAGGUUCCCUGAAGGACAUGCAGGUUUGAGUCCAUUUGCCCGUGGACUAUUCUAAAUCAACAGUGGAUUAGCUUAUACUGUCAGAAGCAUGCAGGCAUGAAUUUUAUGCUAUUGAUGUCCUUUCCCCCUUACCCCCAAAUAAUCAGAAUUGCUUCUGCUGGAUCUAUGGUGGUACCAUUGGGUUACCUUAAAAGGCAUGCUAGGAAGUAGAUCUGUGAUGUUUAACUCAACCUUGGUUUAUUGUGUGAGCAGCGCUGAGGCCCUGCUCACUGUGGUGCCCAAGACCUCCCUUGAUAAGGAUCCUGCGGGGGAACUUCCUUCUGAGAUUAGUUAUGGGAAUAAUUGCAUUUCUCUGUGCCCAUGAUCUUGAGGACACUGUGAAUUGUGUAACCAGGCAAAGCUGCUUGUCCACGUUGACAUUCGGAACACUCAGGAGCCCAUAGGUGACACAUAUAGCGAAGGUACAGCCCUCCCUGGAAAGUCUUGGUUUUGGUUUCCCAGACUUGGGUCUUGCGCUACGUGUUCCCAUGUUCUUCUU